UCAGAUGAUGUAUAAAUCUCAAUUUCGAAAAAUUGACCCUUAUGACUGGUUUUGUGGUACUCUGGUUUUAUGAUGCCUCGGCUCACUGAAGACUGGCAGUAGAUCAUUAAAGUGCCAUAUUCAGCUUCAUAAGCAGCUGUUUGUAGUGCGAGAGCAUAGUUGGCACGUAUUGCUUUUGACAAAUUUGGCCGCACCGAGAUGAUGUGCUGCUGCUCUCCUGCUCCAUCGAUGUAAAUCCUGAAGGGCGGGGCUUCGGAUAUACAGGGGGCGUGGUUAACGAAACAUAACUUUCAGAGCGGUCGACGCCGUCUCUGCCAAAUAAGCACCAGCAGUCAAGAUGUAGGAUCUGGAAAAUAUAGAGUUGACUAUCCUGAAUAUUGGGUGAUUUUUCAUAUCAUGUUUUAAUGCUAGAAUGAAAUGUAUAGAGAGAGAGCCAUAUAAAUCAGAUUGUUUGUUACCUCAUUUGAAAUGCUUGUACAUUGAACAUCACUUGUAAAAUCUUUUGUAUAAAAAUAUUAUUGUACACUGUAUAGCACUCCAACUGUAAUUUUAUUGUACAAAUGUGUUACGUGUUCUGAAUUAGUACUGAUUGGUAAAUUAUUGUUUUAUCGUUGUAUACUUUUGCAGGGUAAAUCUAAAUUUCAUAGCAUCUAGAGCAAAAUCUACUACAAUCCACAGACACUUGAUCAGAAAAUGCUCUGUUAAUUUUAGGUUGCUGCAGUUUAAUGAACCAUUUCAUGUUAAUUUGUUUCUUUUGGGUGCGCAGUUACUGACUGAUCUGGUGUUUGUAGUUGAAAUGAAAUAUAACGUUCAUGAAAAAUGUUUCUAAAAACGGGAAACGAGCGGCGUGUGCGUGUUUUAUUUCUUGCGCCAUCCACUGUCUUGUCUGAUGUACUGCAAGCGUAAACUAUAAAACGGAAACGCUUGACGCACCGUCGUGACGUCACAGCAGCAUGGCGCGCUCUCUCAAAACAAACGGCGCCGACGCUGUGCAGCACGAGAACCGCACGUUAGAGGGAAUGGAUCUGAGCGGAGGAUCCGCGCUCGGCUUGUUCACCUGUGAGCUGUGCGAAAUGUCCAGCCCGUACAGCUUCUACGGGCAGAAGCCGCCAAACACGAGAGCGAUAGUGCUCUUGGAGGAAUGUUACGGCAUGAAGGAUCCCUUCAGCCCAGAGAGAGAAAAGUUUCUUGUUUUAGGAUCCAAGUGCUGUCUGUGCAGUAAGACGGUGUGUGUGGGAACGGACUGCAGUCUGUUCUACACCAAGCGCUUUUGUUUGCCCUGUGUGCGGGAUCACCUUCAUCAGUUUCCAGAACAGGUUCGGAACGAGGUGCUGAGGAAAAAGAGUGUCCAGAAGACGUCCUCUUCAUGAUGCUAGAAUGAUUUAGUCAGGACACCAGUGAGCCAUCUGGCCAGACACAAUAUUUACAUUUUUUUUUUAAUUUUUUAUUAUAUUUGUAUUUAUGUCUUGAGCAACUGGAGGCAGCAAAUCAUGCUUUGAUUAAAAUCAUUUCUGUGCUGUCAUUAGCUGUGAUGAUUUUUUGAUGGUGAUAAAUGGCUUGUGUUGCAUGUAGCAACUAUAAAAUAAGUGAUGUUUGUGUCAUUGGUUGUGAUUACUUGAUGACUGAAAAGAUAAAUGAGUGAUAUAUUCUAGUGAUAUAAAGAUGUCUGAGGAUGUAGAUGAGUGUGAAACCGGUUGUUGGAGUGCAAACACUACUGCUACACCACACCUCCGGACCUGCCUCCUUCCAGAUCCUUCCGGCCUUAAGUUGAGGCUGAGCCUGACUAAACCUGACUUAGUUGCAAAAACCACAGUAGGUGGAGCAGACAGAGCCAUGGAGGAGCUGACCGGACCGAGGAGUGGUGGAGCUGGAGGACCAGACCAGAGAGAUGAUGGUGGAGUGGCUGACCAGACCAAGGAUGGAGCACUGGCAUUGAUGAGGAGCUGGAGACUGGAAGGAGGAGCAUGUGGCUGACCAAGUGGAGCACAGAGUGGAUUGGCAAAUAAAGUGGUGAGACAAGAGUGAUGACAACACCCGAAGAAGGGGGACCAUGACUGUGGUCUCCCCCCCCCGGCCUCCAAGACAAUGACCAGCAGCAGUUAUGCACCUUUUUCUUUUAAAACAAUGCUAAUUAUGCCCCAAAAAAGUAAA